CCCCUUUUGAGUUACCAUUGUGAGUUAUCGCUGUGUCUUUAAGAUUCAUGCUUGGAGCCUUUUCUAUGUGAUUGUCGGCAAUUGGCUUGGUUGCGGCAUUCGUCGGCAUCAGAGGGGAUGGCAAGCAACCUUGGGAGUUGCCUGAGGACCUCCUAGGGGGAGGGGAUCAGCUGGGAAUGGUGUGGAAGAGGGUGCUGCAAGGAUGCACCAUGUGGGUUUCACCGAAACCAUAAUCAAAGGACAUGAAGGAGCUCACUUGGUGGUUUUCGGAGGUCGUUAAGCUCCCGAAGGAGGAAGUUAGGGUGGAUUCAGAGGAGUGGGCGGCCGCAGCGAUGGUGGCGAAGAGCCUCAACUAGAGGGUGGUGGUGAGGGAGUUUAAAAUGCAAGCCGACCUGAAAAGAGAGGUGGCGGGUUUUAGCUUGAAGCGUGGCCAUUUAAUAUUUCAGUUCAUGG
rnacentral:lncRNA from 1 species